AACCCCUCAAGCUCUGCUUGGUGUUGGGCGCUUGUCCCGCCGUCGGUGUGGACUCGCCUUGAAUCCAUUGGCGGCCUUCGUUUUGGGCUAUCGAGCGCAGCAGAGUCGCGUCUCGUGCCCGCCGCGUCGGCGUCCAGGAAGCACAAUCACA
rnacentral:misc_RNA from 1 species